rnacentral:rRNA from 1 species
AUUGAACGCUGGCGGCAUGCCUUACACAUGCAAGUCGAACGGCAGCACGGGAGCAAUCCUGGUGGCGAGUGGCGAACGGGUGAGUAAAGUAUCGGAACGUGCCCAGUCGUGGGGGAUAACGUAGCGAAAGUUACGCUAAUACCGCAUACGAUCUAUGGAUGAAAGCGGGGGAUCGCAAGACCUCGCGCGAUUGGAGCGGCCGAUAUCAGAUUAGGUAGUUGGUGGGGUAAAGGCUCACCAAGCCGACGAUCUGUAGCUGGUCUGAGAGGACGACCAGCCAGACUGGGACUGAGACACGGCCCAGACUCCUACGGGAGGCAGCAGUGGGGAAUUUUGGACAAGGGGCGCAAGCCUGAUCCAGCCAUGCCGCGUGCAGGAUGAAGGCCUUCGGGUUGUAAGCUGCUUUCGUACGGAACGAAAAGGUUUGGCUUAAUACGUUGAACUCAUGACGGUACCGUAAGAAUAAGCACCGGCUAACUACGUGCCAGCCGCCGCCGUAA